rnacentral:rRNA from 1 species
UAUGUGGUAAUUGGCGUCGCUUCGCGCGGCGUCAACGCCCGUUAGCGACGAAUCUUCGGGCCUCUUUUCGACCCGUCUUGAAACACGGACCAAGGAGUCUAACGUGCGCGCGAGUCGCGGGGUAUCGAGUSGUGUGAAUUUAAAUCGACGACUCGUUACAAUACGAAACCCGUGUGUAUGUAAAUGCAAGGCGUAAUGAAAGUGAAACUUGGGAAGAUGGUGUUCGAGUUCACGAUUCUCGAUCGUAUGGUGUCGAGGCCGAACAUCCGCACUCCCAGGGCGUCCUAAUGGCACUUCAAGUAUGCGGACGGUCGUUUCGCGAUGGCCGUCGGUAUUUGAUGAGCUGGGGCGCAC